UGGGGUCGUGACGGUGUAUGUAAUGUAUGUUAGUUAAAUAAAUACAUCACACAAUCUCUCCUUCUCUCUGCGCAGUGGGGGGAACUUUGAAACCCUAGAAGAAGUGCAAUCAUCUAAUUACAGCCCUAAGGUUGUGGAUGAGCAAAAAGCUGUUUUUUUUUAUGCCCUUUAGUUUGCGAAUUGUUACGUAAGUGUCUGUUUUUGUAAAAGGAAAAUGAUAGGUUCCAUUUUGCCCUUACCGGCUCCUCCUUCUGAUGGAGACCUUGGGCCUCUUCCAGAAUCCCAAGUGACUGAACUUAAUAACGAUGAGAAACAAUUGAAUGAGGAGCAGAACAAAGCCAACUCCGUUGCAACACAUACUAGGGCUAUUGGUAUCAUUUAUCCUCCUCAAGACAUCAGAAAUAUUGUUGACAAAACUUCCCAAUUCGUGGCAAAGAACGGACCGGAGUUUGAGAAAAGGAUCAUAGCUAAUAAUACCGGAAAUGCAAAGUUCAGCUUUUUGAUUUCCUCAGAUCCCUACCACGCGUAUUAUCAGCAUCGAUUGUCUGAGUUCCGUGCCCAGAAUCAGUCUUCUGGACAGCAACCUUCUUCGCAGCCUGAAGAUUCUGCAAUACCUGAGUCAGCCCCACCAGCUCCAGCUGCAGAUGGUGAAACAGGAACACCAAAGCUGGAUCCCUCUGCUCAGUUUAAAUCGGUGCGCAAAGUGCCCGAACCACCAGAAAAACCAGAAGCUGAGCAGUAUACUGUUCGGCUUCCUGAAGGGAUUACUGGGGAAGAGUUGGAUAUUAUAAAGCUCACAGCCCAGUUUGUAGCUCGAAAUGGGAAAUCAUUUUUGUUAGGAUUGACAAACAGGGAAACGAAUAACCCCCAGUUCCAUUUUUUAAAACCUAACCAUAGUAUGUUUACACUUUUCACUUCUCUGGCUGAUGCUUACUCAAAGGUGUUAAUGCCUCCGACGGGGUUGACAGAGAAGCUUAAGAAAAGUAUUGCAGACAUGACAACUGUGCUUGAACGGUGUGUGCAUCGGCUGGAGUGGGAGCGUUCACAAGAGCAGGCAAGGCAGAAGGAAGAAGAUGAGAUUGAGCUGGAAAGGAUGCAAAUGGCUAUGAUUGAUUGGCAUGAUUUUGUUGUGGUUGAAUCAAUAGACUUUGCAGAUGAUGAGGAUGAGGAUUUACCUCCUCCAAUGACCCUUGAGGAGGUUAUAAGGAGAAGCAAGGUCACAGAUAUGGAAGAAGAUAUUGUUGAGCCUGGUAAGGAGGUGGAAAUGGAAAUGGAUGUAGAAGAGAUGCAGCUUGUUGAAGAGGGCUUGAGGACAGCCAGAAUUGAAGAGAAUGGUGAUGAAAAGAAGAAUGAGAAUAAGGUGACAGAUGAUCCAGAACCACCAAUGAGAAUUGUGAAGAACUGGAAGAGACCUGAAGACAGGAUCCCUGCUGAAAGAGACCCAACAAAGUAUGUCAUUUCACCAAUCACUGGAGAGCUUAUCCCUAUCAAUGAGAUGUCUGAACACAUGAGGAUUUCUCUCAUUGAUCCAAAAUACAAAGAGCAAAAAGAACGGAUGUUUGCCAAGAUUCGGGAGACUACUCUCGCUCAGGAUGACGAAAUCUCAAGAAACAUUGUGGGCCUUGCACGAACCCGUCCUGAUAUUUUUGGUACCACAGAGGAAGAAGUUUCUAACGCUGUCAAGGCUGAGAUUGAAAAAAAGAAAGAUGAGCAACCAAAGCAGGUCAUAUGGGAUGGUCACACUGGAAGCAUUGGUCGCACAGCAAAUCAAGCCAUGUCACAGAAUAUCAACGGAGAGGAUCAGAAUGAUGUUCUUAACAAUGAUGCAAGGAAUCUUCCUGGUCCUGCAGCUCCUCCUCCAAGACCUGGUGUGCCGUCUGUUCGCCCUCUACCCCCACCACCAGGUCUUGCCUUGAAUCUACCUCGUGUUCCUCCAAAUACAGCCCAGUAUUCUGCUCCAUCUAGUGGUGGCCUCCCUGUACCUCCACUGAGGCCAUCAGUUGUCCAAUAUCAAUCAGUUCGACCACCUGGACCUCCAAUGCCCAUGAGUUCAGGACAGCAAUCCCUUUUGGUGAAUCGGCCACCUCCUAUGCCACCAUCAAUGUCUAUGAAUCCAUCUGUCCCACCUCCACCUGGUUCGCAGUUUACACCCAUGCAAGUUCCCCGAGCUUAUAUGCUUCCUGUUCCUCCACCUACAAUGCAAAUGAUGCCACCACCACCUUUGCCUCAGGGGAUGCCCCCACCACCACCACCUGAGGAAGCUCCUCCACCGCUUCCAGAAGAACCCGAGCCAAAGCGGCAGAAGCUUGAUGAUUCUAUGCUUAUUUCAGAAGAUCAGUUUCUGGCACAGCAUCCGGGACCUGUUCGCAUCACAGUAUCUGUCCCCAAUGUUGAUGAAGGUAAUCUGAAGGGACAACUUUUGGAGAUUACGGUGCAGUCCUUAUCUGAAACUGUUGGGAGUCUGAAAGAAAAAAUUUCUGGGGAGAUCCAGCUUCCUGCAAACAAACAGAAAUUGAGUGGAAAACCUGGUUUUCUCAAGGACAAUAUGUCGCUUGCGUAUUACAAUGUUGGAGCAGGAGAAGCACUUAGUCUUUCAUUAAGAGAGCGUGGUGGAAGAAAGAGAUGAGCAGAUUAUUUGACCAGGCUGAUUAAGGUUCUUGCUGGAAUUUUCGUGUUACCAUGAGAAUAUUCAAUAUAUCAUGUGGGACUUUUGCUAUUCUACUUUCUUUGAUGUUAUAUGGGAGAUUAUAUGUUGGUUGUGUAUUAAUAGGAUGAUUUUUCUUGAACAUAUAAUUGUUGUCUUUAAACUGAUGGUAAGUGUCGUAUCUACUACAGAUUGGGUGCCUCGGCGAGUGUCUCUUAAGGACAAUGGGAAGUAGAUCAGUUCCUUUUACUUAGCCAGCGCAAGUCAUGCUUAUAUGUCUAAUAACUGCUCCUUUUUGCAAUGCAGUUUUUUCUCUGGAAAGUAUGUGCCCAUGGUCGUAUUAUGGUUUUCAUAUCCCUAGAAGCAUGCUUGGUGUCAAGUUAUUUUCAGUGUUCACUUCCAAUUUUUGAUAGAGGCUUUAGCUACUUGUUGGGACUCAUAAAUGGUCUGUGCAACCAGUUAGAUGUUCUUCUUUAAGCAUCUAAGCCAGCAUGGAACCACAGGGUUUGAUUACCAUGUUAAAGGAACAAGCAAGUUUUUAUAUCUUUGUAUUUUUUCUAGGAUUAUUAGAGCAGGUAGGGGUUACAUAGCUUCCCUAAGGUUAUGCAUGAGAUUGGAUUUGAUAUUAAAAGUUCACAGCUAGUAUAGAAAUGCAGAAUGCCCUAAUCUGUUGAAAAGAGUCGUCAUUAACUGUUCAGUUAUGGUAAUUUGGUGCUGGCAGCACAAUACUGUAGAGAAUUUGGUUGGCUGAUGUACUAGUCUAAAAUAUUUGCUCAACACUGGCCUUCACUAUGGGGUGUCAACAUGGUCCAUGCGUAAUUACGAGUCGACUCAGUAUGUCGAUCCGGGGUUGAAGACUCCAGCCCUUCUCGGUGAUGUGACCUGUUGUGCGGAUAUAAACAAUUGUGUCUCCAAUAUUGUGCACGCUAGGAAUGUGUAUGUAGUAAAAGCCACUGUCAGCUGUUUCAAAAGGCGUUGAGUUGCCUGUAUAAAGUCUGCCUCGUUUCCCAAUAUCAAUUGGUUGUACUUGUUGAGAGUAUCA